AUACAAAAUAAAUGACAGAGCAUAGCUCAGUUCCUUAGAUAUCAUUCAGAAGCGUCUUCAAAAAACUGGUGUAAGCAGAGGUGCAUAUAAUAAGUGAAAUUUGGAAAGUCCAGGAUUUUAUUUUCGAUUAUUAAGUACCGAUAUUAAGGGUUAUACUCCUACCGUGAAUAUGCCUCGCUGUGUUUAUAUGGUCGCGGCCCUUUUGGUCGUACUCGCAGUCGCAAAUACCGUGCUUUCGGCAAAAGAAAAAAAGUCAGGCAUUUGCCCUGCGCCCAAAUGCGAGAUGGAUCCUAACAGCCCAAACGUUAACUGUGCUAGAUCUUGGGGAUGUUGCACAAUCGGUGGUUCCAGUUUCUGCACAAAACAACCUUGCAUGAACACACAAUUCUGCAAGAGCGACGACGACUGCAGUGGACGUUUAGUCAAGUGUUGUCCCACGGAAAACAAGGACAAGAAAGUGUGUGUCCAAAGCGUUCUCGUGCAUUAAUUGAUCUGUUUCAGUUGCCAGUGAUGGAUAUAAUUUACACUACAACCUGGUUGGUCAUUUUGGCAGCGCAUGUUGUUGCUUAACAUGUUAUAACCUAUCUCAUGCAUGCAUGUUGUUGCUUAACAUGCCCAACCUAUCUCUUAUUACCUUCUUGUUGGAUUUUAUCGGAUCUGUGUUAAACUGAACAUCAUGCAAGCCCUUGUAACGAUUUAUGAGGUAUCUGUACAACAAUAAUUUCGACCACCGUUGCAGGAAGAAUAAAUCAGGUUAACGUAU